UUACAGCCAUAUCAUGUUGAAACAUCAGUUCUUGUAUGAUCACCAAAGUUAACCAACGUCAAGCCUGGUCAGUAUCUAGAUGGGUGACCACUUGGGAAUACCAAGUGUUGUAAG
rnacentral:rRNA from 1 species